CGGUACGUACUGGCAUUGUUGGUUUCUCCCUUCUGACGAACCAUAAUGUCAUUUAUUUGGUGUUGUGGGGAAUCAGGACUGUUACUUUGAAAAAAUUAGAGUGUUUAAAGCAGGCUCACGCUUGAAUACAUUAGCAUGGAAUAAUGAAAUAGGACGUUUGAUUCUAUUUUGUUGGUUACUAGGAUCGACGUAAUGAUUAAUAGGGAUAGUUGGGGGCAUUAGUAUUCAAUUGUCAGAGGUGAAAUUCUUGGAUUUAUUGAAGACUAACUACUGCGAAAGCAUUUGCCAAGGAUGUUUUCAUUAAUCAAGAACGAAAGUUAGGGGAUCGAAGACGAUCAGAUACCGUCGUAGUCUUAACCAUAAACUAUGCCGACUAGGGAUCGGAUGAUGUUAAUUUUUUAAUGACUCAUUCGGCGCCUUACG
rnacentral:rRNA from 1 species